GCCUAGGCUCACCUAGUAAGCCUGCCACCUGAAUACAGCACACCUCCUCAAUGCUUGUUAAAAAUGUCUCACUACCACUAAAAGAUGCUGGAGAUACUAUGUGGUAGAAUGCCUUACUGCUUACAUAUGUUCCAUUUUCCAACAGCUAAUCACCUUUCCAGACCCCGUCCUUACUGGUAGAAGGAGAAAAUUGAUAUCCUGAGCAGGAGGUGGCUAGAGGCUUUCUAGGAUUGGUAGGGAAGUGUUUAAGGAGAUCCUCAGGAAAUGGAGUUUGCCUGGGUCUGACUGUGAGCUAGGGUAAAUUCUGUGUUACUAACCAUUUUAACUAUUAACUGUUUUAUCCAUCCAAGAUAUCAGGCUCAAACUGUCCUCAUAGCACUCAUUUUUCAGUGAUGCAUUUAUAAAUUCGUUGGAAUAAGUGGAGUGAGAAUGUUUUUGCAAAUCUGAGCAAGCAGAAGGGGUUUAGGGGGCGAGCAAUAUGCCUAAAUGGUGACAGUCUUUUUUAAAUAAUUGAUUGCUGGGGGGGUAAAAAAGGCGAAGUUUAAACAUCUGAAAUGUGAAAUCUGUUGGAGUGAGAUACUUUGAAAAGACUUCAAAAUGAGCACCAGAUACCUACGUGGACAUAGGACAUCAGUUCUGGGAACAGCUGUUGGUGACUCCUGUUUUCCUGGAAGGAGCCCAACAAGCUUCAGAUGACGGCUGUGGAUGUGUUUCAGGUAGAGCUGCUUGGCAGGAGGUACAGUUAGACUAAAACUAGAUGCCAACCUCAUCAAAUAGAAUAAAAAGAAAAAAAUGAGUUUGAAAAAGAAAGAA
rnacentral:lncRNA from 1 species